rnacentral:lncRNA from 1 species
GGCACGGCACGGCACGAGCACGUCUCGGUAGAGCACGCGGCACGGCACGGCACGUACAUGGGCCGUGCCGGGCUUAGAUUUUAGGCAUGCGGGCCUUAAAAGCACGGCACGAUUAAAGAUGGGCCAAAGCACGGCACGAUUAAAGAUGGGCCAAAGCACGGCACGCGAAAAAGCACGCAAUAAGCACGUUUCAUUUUUUAAUGAAAGUAAACUUAAAAUUUUAUGAUUUUAUAAAUAACUUGAAAUUGAAUCUUUUAAUAUCUUUUAUUGGCUCAAGUUUUUUAAAUUUAUUUAAUUCUUAGUUUCAAAAAAAUUAUAAUUGAUUUAUGUUUAUAAUUUAUUAAAUAAA